GGAUCAAUUGGUCGGUCGUGCCUCGGUACGUACUGGUCAAAUUGAUUCCUACCUUCUGACGAACCACGAUGUCAUUAAUUUGGUGUCGCGGGGAAUCAGGACUGUUACUUUGAAAAAAUUUUAGAGUGUUUAAAGCAGGCUCGCGCUUGAAUACAUUAGCAUGGAAUAAUGAAAUAGGAUGUUUGAUUCUACUUUGUUGGUUUCUAGGAUCGACGUAAUGAU
rnacentral:rRNA from 1 species